rnacentral:tRNA from 1 species
GACAGCGUAGCUUAGUGGAAAGAGCCAGCUUUGGAGAUAGACCUGGGUUCAAAUUCCAGCUCUGCCA